UAAACCACUUGUUAAUGCAUACGAAAACCACACCUAAUACCUCGCCGGAUCAAAAUUACCAAAAUAAAACCAAUUCAGAAUCACAAUCAGACGAACGACCCCGAAUCCAUGACGAUCCAAUUGUCAAACCGGCAAAAUAACCCCAAAUAAAAUCAAAUCAGGACCACAAUCAGACGGUAUCGCGAAAGAGAAGAAAAAACACGCGACGGAUAAUCAUUGAAUUGAAUUGCGCAGGUUUCAUAGCGACGAUGAUACAUAUAAUCUAGAAAAACGGAGACGACAAAUAAACAAAAGCAAUAAUCAAACAAAACUCUAAAAUCCGCAGAUAACCAACAAAGACGAGAGACGAAGGAAUGAGUUACGGUUGUAGGAGGGGACGGGUAUUUAUAGAAGAGUCGGUGUUGAGUGGACGGCUGAGAUUAAUCGGAUCAAAGAUACCAAAUGGUUGGACAACCACCGUCAUUUUUGUCGCAAGUUUCUGCAAAUAGAAUUUGAAAUGUAAAAAAUAAUAGAUUAUGGAGGGAUUCAUAAGAAUAUAAAAUUUGGCAUCACUAUCGUACUCACCACCACUCGUUGUUCAACACAACCCAAAUCAUACUAUGUAGCAACCGAACUUCUCAACACAUAACACGACAUUGCCAUACAAGCAAAUUCACGAAAAGGCGGCGAAAAGCCCAAAGCUCGAAACACUUUCCUUUUUCCAGAAAUCCUAUGACCGCGCGGAAAACAAAAUCAAACCAGCCAACAACCAGACCAGGAUGGGAAAAUAUGAACCAAAUCCAAACCACGGGAUAUUAAAUUGCAUAUCACUCCAUCACCAAACAUCAUAAAUACCUUGCCGGAUCAAUUAUCAUUCAUAGAAGACCUUGACAGCACCACAGAGAAAAGAAACAUAUAAGACACGCUCCCGAUAAUUAGACUGUAAGACCAGCAAAACCACCCAAAUCAGAACCACAAACAGAAAGGCACGAAAGAGCUUUAGAUAAAACACAAGUUAGAUUAUAUUCCCCAUUAAGUAUCCAUCACAUCUGUAGCUUUACAUAAGAGACUCUGAAGCUCAUUUUCCAACGGUUUGCAAAGGGUCCAACGAUAUAUGUAAAAUCAGAUUCAACAUUCCUAUAGCACAUGUAGUUUCAGAUAUUAAAAUUGAACUAAGACACUUCCCUUAAGCCACAGAAGAAAGGUACUGACUGGUAGGACAGGUAAAUAAAUUAUCUUUCCGCGUAGUCAAUAGGCCAGAGUAAUGUAGAUGGAACUAGCAAAAACUUUCUUUAAACAGAAGGCCCACCAUCAUUUUUGUAGCAAAUGUCUGUAGACAGAGAGGAAAAGAAGAACAGGGGAUUUGAAGAUUGAUUUGAAAGUAAUAUGACCGUAUAAAGUAGUAAUAUGAAAAUUGAGGGAGCCGUUAGAAAAUACUCUCUCAAAGAAUCUGAGACGCAUCUCACUAAGCCACUACCUGCUGCCGAUCAACACAUUUUGCAACCAGAAGCAAGAAGGUUUUCAUGAGAUAAAUAAAUCAGAAAUUAAAUUAUCUUCCCCGUCAUGUUGUCCGUUAAUCAGACUCAACCUCAGAUCCAACUGCACUAAUCCAUCUUUUGCUGAAGCAAUGGGUUAUCCUGUCCAAAGAUGGAACUUCAGCAGACCCCCUAAAAUACACAAACAAAAGUUACCAAAUGGGAGGACAUCCACCAUCAAUUUUCGAGAGGAAAAGCAAAACCCGGAUAAGGAGAAAAUACUCAAACUUGAAGCUGUUUCUUCUACCAAAAAUCAUAUUUUAACCAUUUCCUUCCAAGUCUAUGCCAUCUCGUAAAAGAAAACCAAACCAACGGACAAGAGAAAUCAUAAUCCAAACCCACACAAUCGAAAAAUAGACAAAAUAGUGGCCGAUAAGGAAACAUCAUACCACAUGCCAUAUCAAAAUCACCCAAAUAGAUUUGAAAACAUAUGGUCAUAUUUCAAAAUUGAAUGAGAAGGAUGAUGAUUACAUAAGAAUAUACAAUCUGGAACUGACAAAAACUCACUGAUCGAUAAGCUAAUUAAAUCACAAAAUAAAUUAUCUUGCCAUCAUCAGAUCCAACCGAGAUCUCUAGCUUAAGCAAUUGGCGAUCCUAUCCACAGUAUUCAGUUGUACUUAAGCUCCUUAUCCAGGUAUACAUACGCUCUAGUAAAAUCAGAUCCUCAUUCUACUUGCACAGUUAGCUUAGCUCCAUAAAUAAACAUGAAACACAACCAACAAAACAGAAAGUACCAAAUAGUAAUAAAGUAGUAAAGCAGUAAAGGGAUUUAAAAGAUACAUUAAAAAAAUUGUGAUAUAAAGUUAUAAAGUUAGAAAAAUAAGGAGAGAGAGAGAGAGAGAGAGAGAGAGAGAGAGAGAGAGAGAGAGAGAUUGAAAUAUCUGGAACUGACGGGAGUUUCAGAGCUGAGUUCCUACUUUAUUACCACAACUGCGGAUCAACACAGUCGAAAGCAACGGUUGAAGGUCAAGAAAUAUCAUAUUGCACAUAUAUAUCAUAAGGAGAAUCAAAGAGAGGUUCUUCAGAUGAGACAAAUAGGUUGAACAUCCAGUAGCAGAUCAAAAUAGCAGUCAAAAGGACGAAACUUUACCGGACACUCUGUUUAGAAUUGUCAUAUAAACACAAUUAAGACAAAAAGGAGAACAUACUCGUAUUCAAAGCGCUUUCUUCUACAAGGAAUCUUGUUCAAACAAGGUUGACAAAAAAUCAAAUCAGCCGAUUACCAAACCCUGGCAAGAUAAAACACAAUCCAAUCGCAUAACGCCUGAUAAUAAACAAUAAUAGACAACUCGUUGAUACCAUACCUAAUACCUCGAAAAUCACCAAAAGAAAACCAAUUCAGAAUCACAAUCAGACGGCCUCGCAAAGAUACGACCCCAAAUCCAUGACGAUACGAUUGUCAAACCGGCAAAAUAACCCCAAAUAAAAUCAAAUCAGGACCACAAUCAGACGGCAUCACAAAAGUGAAGAAAAAAAACACGCGACGGAUAAUCAUUGAAUUGAAUUGCGACGCGACGGAUAAUCAUUGAAUUGAAUUGCGCAGGUUUCUGCAGGAAAAGCAGUAAAGGGAUAUAAAAGAGAUAUUAAAAACAAUUGCAAUCUAAAGUUAGAAAAGUAAGGAGGAUGAGGGAGAGAGAGAGAAAGCAAGAUUGAACAAUUUUUGGAGCUGACGGAUAUCUAAGAGCGGAGUUCCAACUUUAUUACCACACCUGUCGAUCAACAGGUUCCAAAGCAAAGGUCUAGGAAUAUCAUAAGGAGAAUCAAAUCUUAAGGAGCAUCAAAAUCACCACAGAAAAGCACAAUCAAACCCUCUCGCAAAGAGGAGAAAUUGUUAUACCGGCGAAAUCACCCAAAUAAAAUUAAACAGAACCACAAUAAGACAGGAAUCGGAUAA
rnacentral:lncRNA from 1 species